rnacentral:rRNA from 1 species
UACCAGCUCUCCGAGUGGUGUGGACGUUUAUUGGGCCUAAAGCAUCCGUAGCUGGCUGGACAAGUCCCCUGUUAAACCCACCGAUUUAAUCGUUGGCGUGCGGGGGAUACUGCCUGGCUAGGGGACGAGAGAGGCAGACGGUAUUCCCGGGGUAGGGGUGAAAUCCUAUAAUCCCGAGAAGACCACCAGUGGCGAAGGCUGUCUGCUAGAACGCGCCCGACGGUGAGGGAUGAAAGCUGGGGGAG